rnacentral:rRNA from 1 species
GCCUACGGGGGGCAGCAGUGGGGGAUAUUGGACAAUGGGGGAAACCCUGAUCCAGCGAUGCCGCGUGAGGGAAGAAGGUUUUCGGAUUGUAAACCUCUGUGGAGGGGGACGAUAAUGACGGUACCCCUUUAGGAAGCCACGGCUAACUACGUGCCAGCAGCCGCGGUAAUACGUAGGUGGCGCGCGUUGUCCGGAUUUACUGGGUGUAAAGGGCGUGCAGCCGGAUAGACAAGUCAGAUGUGAAAUCCACGGGCUCAUCCCGUUAACUGCCUUUGAAACUGUUUCACUUG